AAGUCGUAACAAGGUUUCCGUAGGUGAACCUGCGGAAGGAUCAUUAUUGAAUGAACUUGACUUGGUUGCUGCUGGUCUUUUCGAAGGCAUGUGCACACUUUGUCAUCUUUAUAUCUCCACCUGUGCACCUUUUGUAGACCUGAAACCAAAUUUCCGAGGCAACUCGGUCGUGAGGAAAUGCUUAACAGCUUUCCUUGUUAGGUUCCAGGGCUAUGUUUUCAUAUACACCAUAAGAAUGUAACAGAAUGUCAUUGUUAGGCUUAGUUGCCUUAUAAACUAUAUACAACUUUCAGCAACGGAUCUCUUGGCUCUC
rnacentral:misc_RNA from 1 species